UACAGAGGUCCCAAGCGUUGUUCGGAUUCAUUGGGCGUAAAGGGUGCGUAGGCGGCUUGUCACGUCGGGUGUGAAAGCCCGGGGCUUAACCCCGGGUCUGCAUUCGAUACGGGCUAGCUAGAGUGUGGUAGGGGAGAUCGGAAUUCCUGGUGUAGCGGUGAAAUGCGCAGAUAUCAGGAGGAACACCGGUGGCGAAGGCGGAUCUCUGGGCCAUUACUGACGCUGAGGAGCGAAAGCGUGGGGAGCGAACAGG
rnacentral:rRNA from 1 species